rnacentral:rRNA from 1 species
GAUAAACUCUGGCGGUGUACAUAAGACAUGCAAGUCGAACGGGAGAAGACAGGAAGAUUUAUCUACUUGUUGGACACCGUGGCGGACGGGUGAGUAACACGUAAGCAACCUGCCUAUAAGAGGGGAAUAACAGUGAGAAAUUACUGAUAAUACCGCAUAAGCUGGAGGUAUCGCAUGAUACAUUCAGAAAAGAUUUAUCGCUUAUAGAUGGGCUUGCGUCUGAUUAGCUAGUUGGUGAGAUAACAGCUCACCAAGGCGACGAUCAGUAGCCGGAUUGAGAGGUUGAACGGCCACAUUGGGACUGAGACACGGCCCAGACUCCUACGGGAGGCAGCAGUCGGGAAUACAGCACAAUGGAGGAAACUCUGAUGCAGUGACACCGCGUGUAGGAAGAAGGUCUUAGGAUUGUAAGCUAUUGUCGUGUGAGAAGAAAAUGACCAUCACAGGAGGAAGCCCUGGCUAAAUAUGUGC